UGCAAGUCGAACGAUGAAAUCCUCUGCUUGCAGAGGAUGGAUUAGUGGCGAACGGGUGAGUAACACGUGGGUAACCUGCCCAUAAGAGGGGGAUAACAUUCGGAAACGGAUGCUAAUACCGCAUAGGUCUUUGAGACGCCUGUCUCUUAGAUGAAAGGUGGCUUCGGCUGCCGCUUAUGGAUGGACCCGCGGCGUAUUAGCUAGUUGGUGAGGUAAUGGCUCACCAAGGCUGUGAUACGUAGCCGACCUGAGAGGGUGAUCGGCCACACUGGGACUGAGACACGGCCCAGACUCCUACGGGAGGCAGCAGUAGGGAAUCUUCCACAAUGGGUGAAAACCUGAUGGAGCAAUACCGCGUGAGUGAAGAAGGUCUUCGGAUCGUAAAGCUCUGUUGUUAGAGAAGAACAAGUCGGGUAGUAACUGCCCCGACCUUGACGGUAUCUAACCAGAAAGUCACGGCUAACUACGUGCCAGCAGCCGCGGUAAUACGUAGGUGACAAGCGUUGUCCGGAUUUAUUGGGCGUAAAGCGAGCGCAGGCGGUCUUUUAAGUCUGAUGUGAAAGCCCACGGCUCAACCGUGGAGGGUCAUUGGAAACUGGAAGACUUGAAUGCAGAAGAGGAAAGUGGAAUUCCAUGUGUAGCGGUGAAAUGCGUAGAUAUAUGGAGGAACACCAGUGGCGAAGGCGACUUUCUGGUCUGUAAUUGACGCUGAGGCUCGAAAGCGUGGGGAGCGAACAGGAUUAGAUACCCUGGUAGUCCACGCCGUAAACGAUGAGUGCUAAGUGUUGGAGGGUUUCCGCCCUUCAGUGCUGGAGCUAACGCAUUAAGCACUCCGCCUGGGGAGUACGGCCGCAAGGCUGAAACUCAAAGGAAUUGACGGGGACCCGCACAAGCGGUGG
rnacentral:rRNA from 1 species